rnacentral:rRNA from 1 species
CCCAGACUCCUACGGGAGGCAGCAGUGGGGAAUAUUGGACAAUGGGGGGAACCCUGAUCCAGCGACGCCGCGUGAGUGAAGAAGUAUUUCGGUAUGUAAAGCUCUAUCAGCAGGGAAGAAAGAAAUGACGGUACCUGACUAAGAAGCCCCGGCUAACUACGUGCCAGCAGCCGCGGUAAUACGUAGGGGGCAAGCGUUAUCCGGAUUUACUGGGUGUAAAGGGAGCGUAGACGGCGAUGCAAGUCUGAAGUGAAAGGCGGGGGCCCAACCCCGGGACUGCAUUGGAAACUGCGAGGCUGGAGUGUCGGAGAGGCAGGCGGAAUUCCUAGUGUAGCGGUGAAAUGCGUAGAUAUUAGGAGGAACACCAGUGGCGAAGGCGGCCUGCUGGACGAUGACUGACGCUGAGGCUCGAAAGCGUGGGGAGCAAACAGGAUUAGAUACCCUAGUA